rnacentral:rRNA from 1 species
AUAGAGUAGUAAUAGUUAUUUUCUUAAAACUUAAUAAAUUUGGCGGUAUUUUAAUCUAUUCAGAGGAACUUGUUUUAUAAUUGAUAAUCCCCAUUAAAUCUUACUUAAUUUUAUUUAAUUUGUAUAUCGUCGUCAUAAGAAUUUCUUAAAAAGGAAAAAAUUUUCUAAAAUUUUUAUUAAAAAUAAUGUCAGAUCAAGGUGCAGUUUAUAGUUAAGAAAAAAUGAGUUACAAUAAAAUUAUUUAUAAUGAAUUUUUAUAUGUAAUUGUAGAAUGAAGGUGGAUUUGAUAGUAAAUAAAUUAAUUUAUUUUUGUUGAUUUUAGUUCUAAAAUAUGUACAAAUCGCCGG